rnacentral:misc_RNA from 1 species
ACAAAUAAUUUUGGGUAAAAUAUGUUAGUAGACAGUAGCUUCAGGCAGCCUCAUCAAACAUUAUCUAUUUACAAAUUGUGAUCACCUUACCUGCAUAACCAUCUUCUCAAUGUAUUGAACCAUAAAAUUCCAUAGAUUCUAUCUAUUGUGGAUUUUAUUGGUCAAUUAAUGGCAUGCACAUUUACUUUCACCAAAAGAGAAGAAAGAACUUUUACCUUUGUAUUAUUAUCAAGUAUUGACCUCCUUAGCAAGCUUCUAUAUGAUUGCUUGUAAAUGAACAAAAUUUAAGGAGUAUUUCCCUGUUUUGGUGCUUGCCUUCAACUUUUACCAGGAUUGACUUAUAGCUCCAG